AAAAAAGGGAACAAAAGAGGACAAGAUCCAAUCCACAAUUACACAAAGGAGAAAAAUAAACCAAAAGAGACAAUAGGAGUAAAACAGCAAAUUAAUAAGCAGGAUAAUAUUGCUCAAAAGUUGUAGACACAGGUUCCAUCGUCACUUCUAGCCGUUGGAUCAAAGUUUUCAGCCACAGGAUCAGUACACCCUUCAGGAACUGGCAGGUUUACUUGCUGGGCUCCUUUUCCUGCAAGUCAAGUAAGUUUAACUUCAGAA
rnacentral:sRNA from 1 species